rnacentral:lncRNA from 1 species
CCAAAACCGACUUUCUUCCUACUCGAGUUUCAAUACUUACCUAUCAUACUUACCGCUUCAUCAAGUCUUUUAUACUGUCUCAUAGUUGAUCCAAAAGAGCUACAGCUCAUUAUGGCGUCAGUUUGGCUUUAAUGCUAAAUUUCGCAAACACGGUGAACUAGAUUGACAAUAAUAAAAAAUGAACUUUAUUCGUCACUUGCUGUGUUACUUAUUAUUAAGAAUCUCAAUUAUGCUAAACAAAUUUUGACACGCAAAAAAUGCUACAAUAGAAACGGAAACGGUUGCACUCACGGAUCGUGACUGGAACAAGUAUACCAAUCCCGCCAUAAGACCUAGAAGUUACUCUUCGGUUGCCACCAGGUGGCAUAUGAGUAGCAUAUUUCUAUGAAAUCUUUUGAUGGCUGUCUGCUGUCUGCUUAACUGGGCAUUGAUGGCAGGUUAAUUUUUAAAAAGUUUGUACUUCAAAUAUAGGAACUAUCUUGCUUUCGGCGGAUUAUUCUCAGUUGGAACUUCGAAUAUUGGCGCAUUUGAGCGAAGACGCAGGUCUUUGUUCUGUUCUAGCCAACCCGAUGGCGAUGUUUUCCGCGGCAUUGUAUCGGUUUGGAAAAAGAAAAAGCAAGAAGAAGUCAGAGACGAUGAAAGGAAAAAAGCGAAACAAAUCUUCUACGGGAUUGUUUACGGCAUGGGAUGUAAAAGUUUAGCCGAACAGUUGGAAGUCGGGGAAGAAGAGGCUCAACUCUUUGUGAACACUUUCCACGCAAGGUAUCCUAGUAUACAAAGCUUUAUAACAAACACAGUUAACCAGUGCCGCACGAAUGGAUUUGAUGAUGUUGAUGCCUAAUUUUCUUGACAGGUCAACCGAUGUGGAAAAAAAUUCAGGAGGAAAAUGAAUUGAGCUGCUGACAUUGGCCUAUUCUGGAAUACAUCAGUUUGCAUCAUAAUCAGAAAGGUAAUAUUGCCUCUUUUAAUUCCUUAUCCAGUUGUAGCUAUGACUUGAGUCUGCGUAGAUAAAUUUCUUAGCUUUAUUUGAAAUUUGAGGCUGUGAUAACUUUUUGAAAACGACAAGAUAUUUUCUAAACUAAAGCUUCACUAGAUCUACCCAAAAGCAAGCAAUCUUUAUUUCAACAUAUAGAUAGCAAUUACUUGUUACACCAAAAGUACCCC